CUCCCAGACUCCUACGGGAGGCAGCAGUGGGGAAUAUUGGGCAAUGGGCGCAAGCCUGACCCAGCAACGCCGCGUGAAGGAAGAGGGCUUUCGGGUUGUAAACUUCUUUUCUGAGGGACGAAGAAAGUGACGGUACCUCAGGAAUAAGCCACGGCUAACUACGUGCCAGCAGCCGCGGUAAUACGUAGGGGGCAAGCGUUAUCCGGAUUUACUGGGUGUAAAGGGAGCGUAGACGGCAGUGCAAGUCUGGAGUGAAAGGCGGGGGCUCAACCCCCGGACUGCUCUGGAAACUGUACGGCUGGAGUGCAGGAGAGGUAAGUGGAAUUCCUAGUGUAGCGGUGAAAUGCGUAGAUAUUAGGAGGAACACCAGUGGCGAAGGCGGCUCUCUGGACUGUAACUGACACUGAGGCACGAAAGCGUGGGGAGCAAACAGGAUUAGAUACCCCAGUAAA
rnacentral:rRNA from 1 species